GGCACUGGGGGGCGAGAGGCCAGGCAAAGAGUGAAGUGGUGCUGGGCCCCCUGGCACUGACGUGGGCUGCUCUCCAGGGCCCUGGGAAAGCACUGAGAGACCUCCAGAUGACUUUUUCAGAGCCUGCCCUGACAUGUCUCCAAGUAAGAUUGAGACCUUUGGUCCAUGUGUACAGUGAAGGCCCUGCCCUAGAAGGUCCACCAAAGUCUCUUUUUCUGCUACCAUCCUGGGACCUAAUCACCUUAAAGGAGACAUGCCAUUCCCAAAGAACUCCUUCGGAGGAAGGUUUUAUCAUGUCAACUUUGAGAGCUAACCAGGCCCUAGUGAGGAAAUGGAAAGGAAAAGGUGGGUAUCAACAAGGACUUUUUAAAUUUUUUAUCUUCUCCCCUUCAACAAGGACUUUUCAAUCAGCUAAAUGGCGAGAAGGCAGCAAGGCAUAUAAUACCUAUGACUCCAGCAUGAUUUCACCGAGAGGCAGUUUUGAAAGCUUGCCUUGUCCAGAGCAACAACUCAACAACUUUGACUGAGGACAGACUAUACAUAACGCUGAACUGUCUCUGGGUUAGGAUAUAGCCAUCACUUCAAUCAGAGCAAAGUAGGACACAAGACAUUGAGUGCCUUUGACCCCAGGGUCUCGGUCUUUACUAGAGCCAGUCUCCAGAGCACAUCCUCUGCCUGUCCAUUCAGGUUGCUUGAGAUUCAGCACUUUUGAAUGCAGCUGAGACGAUCAGAGUUUUUCCAAAGGAGUAUAACCAAGAACAAAGGUAAUCCAAGAACUACAGACGGAGAGUGUAACUGCUGACUCCGCCCUCUCCCCCCACCCGACUCCAGGCAGAACUCAGCGUCAUUGUUCCUUUCUGCACCAGUCAGAACUGGAGGCAUUUCUGCUCUCAUUCAGGACUCUCUUUGUUGAGGAAGAAACACUGAUGAGCAUCUGGGAUUGAAGAUGAGAUCCUGAAUAGUGCCUUAGCUGAAGACAAGGAGGCUGGUUGAUAGCCCGACACCAGGAGGCUGCACUUGGUUCCCCACAGCUGACGUCUGGGCUCACCAGGAGCCACCUGCACCUGCUUGGCUCCCAGCCCAGUAGUAGUGGUUGUCCUUGUAAUUGUGGUGAUAUAAUUUACUUGAGUAUUAAUAAGUCAAUUAAGUAUGAGAGCAAAGAAGAGAGUUGUUGGUUAUGUGAAAACCAAAUUAAAUGUUUAGUAUGAU